UUUCCGUAGGUGAACCUGCGGAAGGAUCAUUAACGAGUAAGGGUCAUUCUGGCUCGACCUCAAACCCUUUGUUUAAUUACUAUGUGGCUUUGGCGGGCCCGUUUCACGACCGCCGGAAGUCCUCUGUAUUCUCUCCCGUGCCCGCAAAUAGCCUUCUACAAACUCUUGAUCAAUUGUGAUGUAUGAGUAAUAAAUUUAAUAGUUAAAACUUUCAACAACGGAUCUCUUGGUUCUG
rnacentral:misc_RNA from 1 species